rnacentral:rRNA from 1 species
UACGGGGGGGGUAAGCGUUGUUCGGAAUUACUGGGCGUAAAGGGCUCGUAGGCGGCCAACUAAGUCAGACGUGAAAUCCCUCAGCUUAACUGGGGAACUGCGUCUGAUACUGGAUGGCUUGGAUUCGGGAGAGGAAUGCGGAAUUCCAGGUGUAGCGGUGAAAUGCGUAGAUAUCGGGAGGAACACCUGUGGCGAAGGCGGCCCCCUGGUUGGAUACUGACGCUGAGACGCGAAAGCGUGGGGAGCAAACAGG